UACGGGGGGAGCAAGCGUUGUUCGGAUUUACUGGGCGUAAAGGGCGCGUAGGCGGCCACCGCAAGUCAAUUGUGAAAUCUCCGGGCUUAACUCGGAAAGGUCAACUGAUACUGCGGGGCUAGAGUGCGGAAGGGGCAACUGGAAUUCUUGGUGUAGCGGUGAAAUGCGUAGAUAUCAAGAGGAACACCUGCGGCGAAGGCGGGUUGCUGGGCCGACACUGACGCUGAGGCGCGAAAGCUAGGGGAGCGAACGGG
rnacentral:rRNA from 1 species